rnacentral:rRNA from 1 species
GACGAACGCUGGCGGCGUGCUUAACACAUGCAAGUCGAACGGAAAGGCCCUGCUUUUGUGGGGUGCUCGAGUGGCGAACGGGUGAGUAACACGUGAGUAACCUGCCCUUGACUUUGGGAUAACUUCAGGAAACUGGGGCUAAUACCGGAUAGGAGCUCCUGCUGCAUGGUGGGGGUUGGAAAUUUUCGGCGGUUGGGGAUGGACUGGCGGCUGAUCAGCUUGUUGGUGGGGUAGUGGCUUACCAAGGCUUUGACGGGUAGCCGGCCUGAGAGGGUGACCGGCCACAUUGGGACUGAGAGACGGCCCAGACUCCUACGGGAGGCAGCAGUGGGGAAUAUUGCACAAUGGGCGGAAGCCUGAUGCAGCAACGCCGCGUGCGGGAUGACGGCCUUCGGGUAGUAAACCGCUUUCGCCUGUGACGAAGCGUGAGUGACGGUAAUGGGUAAAGAAGCACCGGCUAACUACGUG